rnacentral:tRNA from 1 species
GACCAGAUAGUUUACCUUAAAACGUUAACUUGUGGAGUUAAAAAAUUGUGCUGAUCA